rnacentral:rRNA from 1 species
GACAGAGGGUGCAAACGUUUGUUCGGAAUUACUGGGCGUAAAGCGCGUGUAGGCGGCUCUGCAAGUCGGGUGUGAAAUCCCAUGGCUCAACCAUGGAAAGUGCAUUCGAAACUGCAGGGCUAGAGUCCUGGAGAGGAAGGUGGAAUGCUUGGUGUAGAGGUGAAAUUCGUAGAUAUCAAGCGGAACACCGGUGGCGAAGGCGGCCUUCUGGACAGUGACUGACGCUGAGACGCGAAAGCGGUGGGGAGCAAACAGGG